rnacentral:rRNA from 1 species
GAUGAACGCUGGCGGCGUGCUUAACACAUGCAAGUCGAGCGGAGAUAUUUAGAAAGAGAGCUUCGGCAGAAAAUUUAAAUAUCUUAGCGGCGGACGGGUGAGUAACGUGUGGGUAACCUGCCAUAUACUGGGGAAUAAUCAUUGGAAACGAUGACUAAUACCGCAUGUGGUCAUUUGAGGGCAUCAUCGAAUGAAGAAAGGGCUUCGGCUCGGUAUAUGAUGGACCCGCAUCUGAUUAGGUAGUUGGUGAGAUAAUAGCCCACCAAGCCGACGAUCAGUAGCCGACCUGAGAGGGUGAUCGGCCACAUUGGGACUGAGACACGGCCCAA